UACAGAGGUCUCGAGCGUUAGGCGGAAUCACUGGGCUUAAAGCGUGUGUAGGCGGAUCGGUAAGUACCUUGUGAAAUCCCACAGCUUAACUGUGGAGCUGCUUGGUAUACUGCCAGUCUUGAGCCACUUAGGGGCUACCGGAACAAAUGGUGGAGCGGUGAAAUGCGUAGAUAUCAUUUGGAACGCCAAUGGUGAAAACAGGUAGCUGGGAGUGUGCUGACGCUGAGACACGAAAGCCAGGGGAGCAAACGGG
rnacentral:rRNA from 1 species